GAUGAACGCUGGCGGCGUGCUUAACACAUGCCAGUCGAACGGAAAGGCUCCUGCUUGCUGGGGUACUCGAGUGGCGAACGGGUGAGUAACACGUGGGUGAUCUGCCCUGCACUUCGGGAUAAGCCUGGGAAACUGGGUCUAAUACCGGAUAGGACCACAUUUUGGAUGGUGUGGUGGAAAGUUUUUCGGUGUGGGAUGAGCUCGCGGCCUAUCAACUUGUUGGUGGGGUAAUGGCCUACCAAGGCGUCGACGGGUAGCCGGCCUGAGAGGGUGUACGGCCACAUUGGGACUGAGAUACGGCCCAGACUCCUACGGGAGGCAGCAGUGGGGAAUAUUGCACAAUGGGCGCAAGCCUGAUGCAGCGACGCCGCGUGGGGGAUGACGGCCUUCGGGUUGUAAACUCCUUUCGCUAGGGACGAAGCGUUUUUGUGACGGUACCUGGAGAAGAAGCACCGGCUAACUACGUG
rnacentral:rRNA from 1 species